rnacentral:rRNA from 1 species
GACGAGGGACCCUAGCGUUGUUCGGAAUCAUUGGGCGUAAAGCGGGUGCAGGUGGCUUUGUAAGUCAGAUGUGAAAGCCCUGGGCUUAACCCAGGAAGUGCAUUUGAUACUGCGAAGCUUGAGUGCUGGAGAGGUUACUGGAAUACCUGGUGUAGUGGUGAAAUACGUAGAUAUCAGGUGGAACACCGGUGGCGAAGGCGGGUAACUGGCCAGACACUGACACUCAUACCCGAAAGCGUGGGGAUCAAACAGG